rnacentral:RNase_P_RNA from 1 species
GUAGCAGUGCGGGUGGUAACUGAAAAAUGUUUGUUGUUUUUCAGAGGAAAGUCCGGACUCUAUGAAGCGCGGUUCCGAAUGAAAAUUCGGGAUGCUGUUUAAAAACAGCAUACGGAAAGUGCCACAGAAAACAGGUAGCCACGUAAAUCCGAAAGACGGAAACGUGGUGAUAGUGAAAAGGUGGGGUAAGAGCCCACCGUGUUCCGGGUAACUGGAACUGCAAGGCAAACCCAUCCGGGAGCAAGACCAAAUAGAGGGCUGUGGAACGUUUUAACGUUUCCUGACUGCUUCUGUCAUAUGGCCCAGGGUUGGUCGCUUAGACUGAUUAUCACCGCCAUAUAUUUAUGGUACAGAAUCCGGCUUAUAGCACUGCUACGACC